GGAGCUACUUUGUUCAAGUGGCCCUUUCAUGACAAGGCAGCGUGGCUUUUGCAGAGACACUGACGUAUGCCCAGGCUUUCAGAGGCUAUUUUGGGAUGAAUGGACUGCUGGGCUGGCUUUUGUGGGUUCUUGUUAAGUGAAAUGAAUCUGGAGGCCUUGAUACUGGGCUUUGUCUACACGGCCAGACACAAAGCAAGGAGUUGCUGGGAAGAUCAGGGGCAGGAGCUGGGUUUAAAAGGACUGAGCUCAUUAGCCCUGCACCUCCCAGGAAGGUUGGGAAUGAGGGCUCUGCCUGUAAAGAGACCUCAGGGAGAUAUUAGCCCAGAGAAAAUUUAGGCCCUUGUGGACAUUGUGAAGGAGGAGGUUGCUGGAGAAGAGAUUUAAUGUGCUGAAUGGUGCCUGAAGCUCACAGACAGACAAUGCCUGGUCCCUCAGGGCUCCUGGCUGCCUCUUGAACCCCCAGCCUUCUGAGCACGGCAUCCAUCAGGUACACCCGCAGCGGGGUCCAGCCAGGGGAGGGCCUCGUCCUGGCAAGGGGGCCAGUGCACCCAGCUUGGCCCAGGGACAGAGGACCCAGAGCUCAUAAAGGGCGAUCAUAGUUUGAAUAACAUAGAGUGGGGCCGGAGGAUGCAAGGAUAAACCAGUAAUAAAUACCUGAGACACGUUUUCCUGCUCUUGAGUCCAGUCUAUAGACAGAUGUGGACACAUAAGUUGUGAGAAUACUGUUAAUAUAUUAUAAAGAAUUAUAAUAACAGAAAGAACGUGAUGCUCUGACAGUAGCUGUUGAUUGAGGAAUGAUCUAGAAGGUCUUAACAGAAGAAGGAACUCCUGAGCUGGUUUUUUGAGGACACAUGGGAGGUAGCAAGGAAGGGGGAGGGGAAGAGAUGGCUGCCAAAAGGGACAGCCUGCACAAAAUCUCCAAGGCACGAAGGAGCAAGGCCAUAGCAAGAAGCAGGGGUGUGGGAAGUGGUGACCUUCUUUGCUGGCUCCGUUCUUCCUCCAAGAAGGAAGGGCAGCAGCCAACCGGCAGCCUUUGAAUAAUGCUCCCCAGUCUGCAUAGCUUUUCACAUCCAGGAUUCUCCUUUGAUUCCCAAACCAACCCUGUGGCUAUUAGCCCCAUUCUACAGAUGAAUUAUGAGCUUGGGGUUAUACACCACAUUAGCUGCGGUGCUAAUGAGAAGGGAGGAGGGGAGGGAGCUGCCAAAAAUCUAUAUACAGUCAUCCCUCGGUAUCCCCAGGGGAUGGUUGCAGGACCCUCAAGGGUACCAAAGUCUGUGGAUGCUCAAGUCUCUAAUGUAAAAUCAUGUAGUGUUUGCAUAUAACUUAGCACAUCCUUCCGGAUACUUUAAAUCAUCUCUAGAUUACUUAUGAUACUAAUACAAUGUAAAUAUAUAUAUAAAUAGUUACCAACACAUGGCCAAUUCAGGUUUUGUUUCUUGGAACUUUCUGGAGUUCUUUUUCCACGUAUUUUCAAUCCACAGUGGGUUCCAUGCCCAGAUGCGGAGCCCAUGGAUGUGAAGAGCUGCAUGUGGUCUUCUCCCCUAGGGCUGGCAGGAACAUGAAGGCAAGGGAAGGAGAGGAGAAGGAGGGAGUCAGCCAAGGUGUCCUUUCCGUUGAUCCUAACAGGAAAUGACCUCCCCCUCAUUCCAGAUAAAUGGCUCCAAAUUUUCAUCAAGUAAAAUUUAUGGAUGAUUUCUCUUAGAUACUAGAAACGGUAGGUAGAAAGGGAUAUUAACCAGUCCCUGCACCUGUGCUCCUGCUUGUAGCCACCUGGAAAGUGCUGGGAGCCCCAUGGAGAAGCAGUCACUCUCAGAGCAGCUAUUGUCCCUGUUAGGGCCACCCUGAUUGCAAUUCAUGGUAAUGCAGUUCUUCCUAUCAUUCAAGUUCAAAACCUUGAAGUCAAACCUGACCGCUUCUUUCCUCCUGCAUCCUCUAAGUCACAACAGCGAAUUGUUAAUACCUCUCCCCUCCCCCAACCACUCCUUUCCAUUGACACAAUGCACUGAUCUAAAUCACCCCCAGGCAUCUCUGCUUCCCCUUCUGCCCCUUUUCUCCCAUUGCCAUCCACCCGUGUGACCCCAGGAGGUCACAUGAUCUAAGGCAAAGCUUCAGCCCCUCGGUUCCCCCAUUCGAAACCAUUCUAGCAUCACACCUGCUCAACAGAUGUUUGGUGAAUGAAAUAAUCUUUUUUUUCCAUUUUGAAAUAAUUGUAUUUUAUUUUUCAUCAAUUAAUAUUUAUGUAUUACUAUCAAUAGAAGUAACAAUCAAAAAGUAAUCAUGAAACAAAUAAUAUUUACUAUAUAAUAGGCACUGGGUUAGUUUCUAGAGUUAGAGAUGAAGUACCACAGUUCCUUGGCCCUUAAAUGCAUGUUUUCCCCCAAAUUUUAAUAUUUCUGGAAUUAGAAUUUAUCUUAACACAGGUUUGACCCCUUGUCUCACUCCGUGGGUUAAAGAUCCAGCAUUGCUGUUGCUGUGGCACAGGCUGGCAGCUGCAGCUCUGAUUCAACCCCUAGCCUGGGAACUUCCCUAUGCCACAGGUACAGCCCUAAAAAGAAAAAAAGAAAAAAGAAAUAAAUAAAAAUACGAAAUAAAUUUCACAUUUCUUUUUACCUAUUUAAUGUGGCUGCUGAGACAUUUAAAAUCGCACAUGUGAGUGUUAUUUUUCUAUGGGACACUGCUGCCCUAGAGAACACGAGAAGCGUGUUGUGUUUUGUCUUUUUUAGCACCUUGUGGGAACACUGUCAGUAUUUGUCUGAUGAAUGGUGAUGUGCGUAAACACUUCCUUUUAUCCACUCAGCCGUCCUGGGGGAGGCUGGGUGAUGACAUUGGAUGUGUGAGGAUGAGCUGCAGGGAGGGGCUCUGGCUUUGCCAUAAUGGCCUCCCCGUGAGGUUCCCCUGGCCCAGUCUGCCUGUGGCUAAUGGGUCACUGGUGGCACCCCGCACCACCCCAGCACCUCUAAGCCUUCAGGAGACACUUGGGGUGCUGGCCUCACUCCUCCUUUCACCCAUCCUGUUUCUAUUCCAGCACCUCUCCCAGGAACGAGGAAGGGAAUCAUUUAUUGGGAGCAAGGGGAGGUGAAGUAAGCUGUGAUUUUUGUCCACAAAGGUGAAACUUACUGGUGAGCAACCUGUAGACUCCUACCUGUGCAGCAUCCUAGGACCGGAGCGCCGUCACACCCCCUUCUGGGGAGCAAGGGCCUGUGAAGCCCUUUGCAUCCUGGCAUUGAAGAGGCAGCGACGUGGGUGGGAAACCUGGAGCCUUUCCCACUGGGCUCCCUGCUGGAGGCCACCUGUCUUCUCUGGGACUUGAUGCCAGAGCAGGGAGAGGAGCCAACAGCAGUUGGAAUCGCCCAGACCGCUGGAUGGGACACUGGGCAGCACUUCCCAGGCUGGCAGAGCUGCUGCCUAAGCCAGUGCCUUAAAGCCACCAACAGUCCAAACCCCUCCCUGCUUCAUUUGGGUUCCUUCCUCCCCACGCAACAGAAUCUUGGCUUUGGGGCCCAAGACACACUAAAGUGACAUACCUGAACAGACGCUCUCAUGACCUGCCAUCUUCAGGACACCAAGGCCCAUGUCUCCACCAGGGAGUGUCACCACCAGCCUCCCAUCAUCUUCCCAGGGCUGACCCACCAAGACAAGCCCACAGAGUCAAACACCCAAAGUGAGACCUCAUGUGGCCCUGCCUCCUUUUGACUCCAUAAUGGCAUUUGAAGGGAUUAUAUGACUUUUUAAAAUAGAGUCUUAGCAGGCCUAGGAGAGGGAUUUGUCUCUCCUGAGUGUCUUUUCUUCGGGAUAUGUGUCAGAAGGAUUCUUAAAUCUUCAAAAAACCCUCAUCUCUCUGUGAGGCUGAGAAUGCGGUAGCAGUAAGGCACAGUGAAAAACCUGCUGAUAGACAGAUGGAAUGGUGUAAUUAUACGCAGGAGGGAGAGAGGGAGCGUUUGCUGAAAUUAUUAGUGUGGGCAGACAAUUAGAGGCUUUUCCAGAAGAUUACACUUUUCCCUCCCAUCUGCGCUCCAUUUAGGAGUUUUUACAUUCACAGUGCUAUUUCCUCCUCAGCUGUGCCAUUUGCCAUUUUGCCCAAAUUAUUAUUGUGCCUGACUUUGCGUUUGCUCCGACUUCACCAGCGUUCCCGUCUUCUCCUCCUGGCGCUGGCCCUCUCCCUCCUCAUCACUCCAGUCUCUUCCUCCUUCCCUCUCCCUUCCUCCCGCUUCCCUCGUCCCCCAGCAGAGAGCUGCAAAGGCCUAUCAAGAGUGCGGCGGAUUCUUCCUGGGUCGAGCAGGAUGCUGUCUAAUAUGAAAUGCUAGGAAGGUGAUCAACGCGAUCUGCAGCCCUGCUUCCUGCCCCAGGACCCACUCUGAUGCCGUGGGAGAAGCUCAGCCCCCAGGGAAUCGGGGCUGGAUGAAUUCAUGGAUGAAUCUGUGGUUUGGAGCAGGAGGAAGGAGCCCGUGUUCUCUUUCCACGCAGUUUCACCUGAGCUCGGUCAUGGUCAUGGGUCCCAAUCCGACUCCUGAGGAUCCAGAAGCUCUAGAUCCCAGGGCCUCAUUCACACUCUGUCAUUCAUUCAUUUGUUCAUUCAUCCAACAGAGUGCUCGAGCAGCUAUUGUAUCCCAGCCACAGGUCUUAACACUGCAAGGGUGAGAGAGCCAAGUUCAUUCCAUAUCUGCCCUGAGCGAUGGUCUGCAGAAGGUACUUCCGCAAGUAGGAAUUCUUGCCUUCCCCAUUCUAGAUGGGAAGCCAGAUUCCAAGAGGUUGAGUUACUUGCCCAAGUCAGAGACAUCCUGUCAGACCCUGGAUCUCUGGCUGCAAGGCCUGUGCUCUCUACAGCAUCCCUUUGGCCCUGGGGAAACAGAGUGGUCCUGUAGCAGCCCCCUAGCAGUCCCGCCAUCUGAAUAAACAGGCAUGUGAACACUUACAACAGGGGGUUACCACUGUGGCUCAGCGGGUUAUGGACCCAUUGUCACCUCCGUGAGGAUGCAGGUCCAAUCCCUGAUCUUUCUCAGGGAGUUAAGGAUCCAGCACUGCUGCAAGCUUUGGUGUAAGUGGCCAAUAUGGCUUGGAUCUGGUGUUGCCGUAGCUGUGGCGUAGGCUUGCGGCUGCAGCUCUAAUUCAACCCCUAUCCCAGGAAGUUCCAUAUGCCACAGGUGCAGCCAUAAAAAGAAAAAAACAUUAAUUACAAUAGUAAGUGAGGAGCGUGUGAGCAGCUGGGGGCGAAGCUGUGUGGGAGCCAGGCAGAGGGGGUGACUCAGCCUUCACAAGGAGCCAGAGAGGCGUAUGCUGGAGCAGUGGCCAAGGAUGAGCAGAGAUUGGCAAGGGAGGGGGGCAGGAAGGGCAUUCUGGGCAAAGGGGCAGCAGGCACUUGGGGCAGGGCUGAAAGGAAGGAGGUGGCACUACUUCAAUGCAUUUUUUUUUUUUUUGGUUCCUUAAACCAUUCCUGGGGGCAGCCCUUAGGUAGACAUCACUGCCUCCAUUCUAUAGAUUAAGGAACCAGGGCUCUAGAAGGGUGGGUGACUUGCCUAGAGAAGAAGAGGUACCGUGGAGCCAAGACCUGGGCCCUGGUCAGUCCUACUCCAGGGUCCAGCUCCUGCCCUCGGUCUGGAGAGAGCCGAGGUAUGUCUAGACGAUGAGAAACACGCUAUGGGGCCAGCACACGUGCACACAGGAGGUUCAGGUGAAUUUAGGGAGAGAAGGGCACCUGAUUCAACUAGCAAAGGCCUUAUGAGCUGAGCGAAGGGGCUGGGACUAUGCUGAGGUGCUGUGGCUUCUUUCCAGGCUGUGUUGCUCCGCAGGGCGGGCAGUUGUAUGGAGGCCGGCGGGAGAGGGAGCCCGCGUGGAGGCAGGGAGGUCUGUCUGAAGGCAGGUCUGGAGGUCCAGGAACAACGAGCUGUGCCUGACCUGAGGCUGUGGAAGCAGCAGGAGAAUGUGGUACCGCUUGGAGGUUGGAAAUGACGGCACAGCAGGAGUGGAGGCUAACUGGAAAGUUAAGGCUGGAGACAGUGGGUGGGUGGUGUUGACCAUUAAGAAGCCAGGGGCUCAAGGAGGAACAGUCGGUUCCAAGAAGAAAUGGCAGGGAGGGGGGAGACAAGGCCAAUUAAGCUAGAAGGAAGCUUUAGGCCAUCAAGGCUUUCUUAGGCAAGGCAUCAGAGGAAGCCAAGGAAUUGAGUAUAUGACCGUGAAUUAAAUAUAACUUCAGGAGUUU
rnacentral:lncRNA from 1 species